rnacentral:rRNA from 1 species
UACGAAGGGGGUUAGCGUUGCUCGGAUUUACUGGGCGUAAAGGGCGCGUAGGCGGACAGUUAAGUUGGGGGUGAAAGCCCGGGGUUCAACCUCGGAAUUGCCUUCAAUACUGGCUGUCUUGAGUACGGGAGAGGUGUGUGGAACUCCGAGUGUAGAGGUGAAAUUCGUAGAUAUUCGGAAGAACACCAGUGGCGAAGGCGACACACUGGCCCGUUACUGACGCUGAGGCGCGAAAGCGUGGGGAGCAAAUAGG